GAAAAAUAUAUUACCAUAUUAAGUCAUUUUUCCGGCUAACCAAGAGUAAACGGUUAUAAAAACUAAAUGAGUACAGUUUAAUAAUUUGAAAGGAUAAAUAUAGACGGAAAAAAAAAUCAAUAAAUCAAAUAAAAAUAUAUUACCAAAAACCCAACCUAGCUCGAACUGGAUAAGAGUUUGAAAUUUUUUGGAUAAGAGUUUGAAAUAUGUUGAAGAAGAUCAACGUCGAUUUGCUCCGAUCCCACUGACUCUAUUGUCGGUUCUAGUGCUGAUCUGUCUAACUUUCUAGCAAUUGGACAAAAAUCCCCAUUUUCCCUGUGUUUCCGUCUCCUACUGUCCGACACCACGACUUUGGCUGUCGAUUUGCAUCCACCAGUCCCGCUGCAGUCACCAGUCGACGCCACCAAGUCCGGCGCCAUAUCCGCCCACUGCCGCUCCCUCUUUCUCUUCUUUCCCAUCUUUUUACACUUGAGGAGUCGGGUGGAUAAACUCUUUUCCCACACCUCGCAUGUUCAGAAUUAGAUGACUUCAACCUUUGUUUUGCUCAUGUAUUCAGUUUCUUGCAAUUGCAAAUUCAAUUCUAUUAAUUUCUUUUGGAAUCACCAAAUCAGUUUAGUCUAGAAAUAAAAUGCAUUGAAAUACGCACUAAAAAAGUAUCCGAAACUGCAGUUAAUCUGGAAAUACAAGCAAAACAUCAUAAGUAAGUUUUAGUUGAUCUGUGGCUUAUAGCAAAACACCAUAGGUAUUGUUAACUAUCAUAUUGAGAUUUAAAAAAGCUACGGAGUCUAUGGAAAGAAGGUAAACUCGAAGAACUAAUCUAAUCAUCAAUUCCAGAUUCAUCUAAACACUGCCGAGAUACAAGGUAGAGAAAGCUUAAAGCCAUUUUUUUUUAUGUAUGAUCUGUGAAUUAUAUAGGAGUUUGUACUUUGUAUAUAUGCAAGCUGUAGAAGUUUUUAUAAUGUUUGUAGUUUGGAGUGUUAAAGUCGUAUAUUAGAUUUUUUAUUUGGAAAAUUUUCCAUAAAAAUCACUAUAAGUUGUAUUUGAAACUAUAGUUUGGACUUUGGAGUGUUAAAGUCGUAAAAGUUGUAUUUGAAA